AGAGUUUGAUCCUGGCUCAGGAUGAACGCUGGCGGCGUGCUUAACACAUGCAAGUCGAACGAUUAAAGCCCCUUCGGGGGUGUAUAGAGUGGCGAACGGGUGAGUAACACGUGGGCAACCUGCCCCUCACUUCGGGAUAACCCAGGGAAACUUGGGCUAAUACCGGAUACUCCGAGAGGACCGCAUGAUCUUCUCGGGAAAGUUCCGGCGGCGAGGGAUGGGCCCGCGGCCCAUUAGCUAGUUGGUGAGGUAAUGGCUCACCAAGGCAACGAUGGGUAGCCGAGCUGAGAGGCUGAUCGGCCACACUGGGACUGAGACACGGCCCAGACUCCUACGGGAGGCAGCAGUGGGGAAUUUUGCGCAAUGGGCGAAAGCCUGACGCAGCAACGCCGCGUGCGGGAUGAAGGCCUUCGGGUUGUAAACCGCUUUCAGCAGGGACGAAAUUGACUGUACCUGCAGAAGAAGCCCCGGCUAACUACGUGCCAGCAGCCGCGGUAACACGUAGGGGGCGAGCGUUGUUCGGAAUUACUGGGCGUAAAGGGCAUGUAGGCGGUUUUAUAAGCCUGACGUGAAAGGCUAUGGCUCAACCAUGGCAUUGCGUUGGGAACUGUGAGACUUGAAUCACGGAGGGGGAGCUGGAAUUCCAGGUGUAGGGGUGAAAUCUGUAGAUAUCUGGAAGAACACCAGUGGCGAAGGCGAGCUCCUGGCCGAUGAUUGACGCUGAGGUGCGAAAGUGUGGGGAUCAAACAGGAUUAGAUACCCUGGUAGUCC
rnacentral:rRNA from 1 species